GCGUAGCUCAGUGGUAGAGCAGUUGACUGUUAAUCAAUUUGUCGUAGGUUCGACCCCUACCG
rnacentral:tRNA from 2 species